rnacentral:rRNA from 1 species
GAUGAACGCUGGCGGCGUGCCUAAUACAUGCAAGUCGAGCGAACGGACGAGAAGAUUGCUUUUCUGAUGUUAGCGGCGGUCGGGUGAGUAACACGUGGAUAACAUCCCUUUAAGACUGGGAUAACUUCGGGAAACCGGCGCUAAUACAGGGUAAUAUUUUCCACCGCAUGGUUACAAAGUGCAAGACGAUCUUGCUGUCACUUAUAGAUGGAUCCUCGCUGCAUUAGCUAGUUGGUAAGGUAACGGCUUACCAAGGCCACGAUGCAUAGCCGACCUGAGAGGGAGAUCGACCAGACGGGAACAGAGACACAGUGCAGACACCGACGGGGAGCAGCAGUAGGGAAUCUUCCGCGAUGGGCGAGAGCCUGACGGAGCAACGCCGCGUGAGUGAUGAAGGUGUGCGGAUCGGAGAACGCUGUUAUUAUGGAAGAACAUAUGUGUAAGUAACUGUGCACAUCUUGACGGUACCUAAACAGAAAGCCACGGCUAACUACGUG